UACGUAGGGUGCGAGCGUUGUCCGGAAUUAUUGGGCGUAAAGGGCUCGUAGGCGGUUCGAUAAGUCGGACGUGAAAUCUCCACGCUCAACGUGGAGGGGCCGUUCGAUACUGUCGUGACUCGAGUCCGGUAGGGGAGUGUGGAAUUCCCGGUGUAGCGGUGAAAUGCGCAGAGAUCGGGAGGAACACCCGUAGCGAAGGCGGCACUCUGGGCCGGUACUGACGCUGAGGAGCGAAAGCGUGGGGAGCAAACAGG
rnacentral:rRNA from 1 species